rnacentral:rRNA from 1 species
AUUCAACGCUGGCGGCAGGCCUAACACAUGCAAGUCGAGCGAGCGGCGGACGGGUGAGUAAUGUAUGGGGACUGCCCGAUAGAGGGGGGUAACUACUGGAAACGGUGGCUAAUACCGCAUACUGUCGGAUCACCCAUAGGGGAUUAGCUAGUGGGUAAGGGAAUGGCUUACCGAGGCGACGAUCCCUAGCUGGUCUGAGAGGAGGAUCAGCCACACUGGGACUGAUACACGGCCCAGACUCCUACGGAGGCAGCAGUUGGGAAUAUUGCACAAUGGGCGCAAGCCUGAUGCAGCCAUGCCGCGUGUAUGAAGAAGGCCCUAGGGUUGUAAAGUACUUUCAGUCGGGAGGCGUUACCGACAGAAGAAGCACCGGCUAACUCCGUGCCAGCAGCCGCGGUAAUUC